UUCUCCUACGGGGGGCAGCAGUGAGGAAUAUUGGUCAAUGGGCGGGAGCCUGAACCAGCCAAGCCGCGUGAAGGAAGAAGGCGCCAGGCGUCGUAAACUUCUUUUGUCGGGGAACAAAGGGCGCCACGCGUGGCGUUGUGAGUGUACCCGAAGAAAAAGCAUCGGCUAACUCCGUGCCAGCAGCCGCGGUAAUACGGAGGAUCCGAGCGUUAUCCGGAUUUAUUGGGUUUAAAGGGUGCGUAGGUGGUUAAUUAAGUCAGCGGUGAAAGUUUGUGGCUCAACCAUAAAAUUGCCGUUGAAACUGG
rnacentral:rRNA from 1 species